AGUGAACGCUGGCGGCGUGCCUAAUACAUGCAAGUCGAACGAAGUGGCGCACGGGUGAGUAAUAUAUAGUUAAUCUGCCCUACACAGAGGAACAACAGUUGGAAACGCCUGCUAAUACCUCAAAGUGUAGGAUGAGACUAUAUCGUAUCAGGUAGUUGGUAAGGUAAUGGCGUACCAAGGCUAUGACGCGUAACUGGUCUGAGAGGAUGAUCAGUCACAUUGGAACUGAGACACGGUCCAGACACCUACGGGAGGCAGCAGUAAGGAAUAUGGCGCAAUGGGGGAAAGCCUGACGGAGCAACGCCGCGUGGAGGAUGACACUUUUCGGAGCGUAAACACCUUUUAUCAGGAAAGCGGUACCUGAUGAAUAAGCACCGGCUAACUCCGUGCCAGCAGCCGCGGUAAUUC
rnacentral:rRNA from 1 species